rnacentral:rRNA from 1 species
UGAGAGAACUCAGGAGAAGGAACUCGGCAAAUUGAUACCGUAACUUCGGGAGAAGGUAUGCCUCGGUAGCUUGUAGGAGUACAUCCGAAGGGCGACGAGGCCGCAGAGAAUCGGUGGCUGCGACUGUUUAUUAAAAACACAGCACUCUGCAAACACGAAAGUGGACGUAUAGGGUGUGACGCCUGCCCGGUGCCGGAAGGUUAAGUGAUGGGGUGCAAGCUCUUGAUCGAAGCCCCGGUAAACGGCGGCCGUAACGAUAACGGUCCUAAGGUAGCGAAAUUCCUUGUCGGGUAAGUUCCGACCUGCACGAAUGGCGUAACGAUGGCCACACUGUCUCCUCCUGAGACUCAGCGAAGUUGAAGUGUUUGUGAAGAUGCAAUCUCCCCGCGGCUAGACGGAAAGACCCCAUGAACCUUUACUGUAGCUUUGCAUUGGACUUUGACGGGACUUGUGUAGGAUAGGUGGG